rnacentral:lncRNA from 1 species
GCUCCCUACAGUUAUUCUUGUUUACGCAAUAAUUCCGUAAAACAGGCUUAUUCGUGCAGAACGCGAAUUCUUUUUGACUUGGUGGCAAUAUUGGUCACCUAAGGAAUAUUUCAAACUAGAUUUCGACGAUGUCAAUGUUCCCAUGGCAACAUGACGACAGCAUAAAGCCUUCCAAUUUAACCCAUAAAUGUGCCGCUAUCUCAAAAACGAUGUCGGUGACCUAUCUUUUUU